CAAUGCAAUAGAGGUCGCGAGAAUCACGAAGCUUAGUGAGUGUCCAAACACAUUGAACUAAGUCAUUCAGGAGGAUCGCCGAAGUAAUAUUAUUUUUGGAGAUAAUAUUAUUGGGGCAUAGAUUAAUAGUCUAUGAACUGUCUUAACGAUUUUUCGUUAAGGAGCGCUAUGAUUUUG
rnacentral:ncRNA from 2 species